AUUGAACGCUGGCGGCAUGCUUUACACAUGCAAGUCGAACGGUAACAGGCCGCAAGGUGCUGACGAGUGGCGAACGGGUGAGUAAUGCAUCGGAACGUGCCCAGUCGUGGGGGAUAACUACUCGUAAGAGUAGCUAAUACCGCAUACGAUCUAUGGAUGACAGCGGGGGACCGUAAGGCCUCGCGCGAUUGGAGCGGCCGAUGUCAGAUUAGGUAGUUGGUGGGGUAAAGGCUCACCAAGCCAACGAUCUGUAGCUGGUCUGAGAGGACGACCAGCCACACUGGGACUGAGACACGGCCCAGACUCCUACGGGAGGCAGCAGUGGGGAAUUUUGGACAAUGGGCGCAAGCCUGAUCCAGCAAUGCCGCGUGCAGGAAGAAGGCCUUCGGGUUGUAAACUGCUUUUGUACGGAACGAAACGGCUCUGGUUAAUACCCGGGGCUAAUGACGGUACCGUAAGAAUAAGCACCGGCUAACUACGUG
rnacentral:rRNA from 1 species